rnacentral:lncRNA from 1 species
UCUCUGAGGAAGUUGCAAGCAUCUGGUGGAAUAGCACAAGAACUUCUUUGUCUAGUCACUCUUUAUGAAGUCAUGAAGUUCAUGAAGAUCAGCAAUGCAAUGCAAGGUUUGAGGUGGGUUUCGUACCUUUUUGAGAAGUCUUGCUGGAAUGUGAUUGAAUCACGGUGGCAGCUGAUGUACUCUUAGAAGACACAGCUACAGAUGGACAUUUCUCAGUAAUCAGGUGAUCCUGCUGAAGUCAACCUCUGUGUCUUGGAUGCGUUC